rnacentral:lncRNA from 1 species
GCUCACCUCUCCCUUAUACCNUUUCAUAUAUCCUUCAUCUAGAAUCAUCAGUUAAUAUUUUAAAAAUAGUUGCCUCAAAUGUUUUGUUGUUGUUAUUAUAUUUUGUUGUUAUUAUAUUUGUUGAAUCAUUUGAGAAUUCGUUAUAGACAUUAUGAAUUCUUACCCCUAAAUGUAAACAUGUAACUCCUAAAAGUAAGAACAUUCUCUUAUCAAUACAGUAUCAAACUCAUGAAAAUUAACUUUGAUACAAUAUUACCAUCUACUAUACAACUCAUGUUCCAAUUUUUCCAAUUGUCCUUUUUAAAAGUUGAAUGCUUGCCUAGCACGUGCAAGGCCCUGGGUUCGAUCUUCAGCAUCACAUAAAAAUAAAUAAAUAAAAUAAAGGUAUUGUGUCCAAUUACAACUAAAAAAUAAAUACUAAAAAAGUUUUAAAAAAAAUACAGUUGGAGAAAAUACAUGAAAUUUAUCAUGUGUGAAUUUCAUCUCAAUAAAACAUUGUAAAAGUCAAUAAUCAUUAGGAGUAAGGCUGUGGUGAGCAUUGUCCUGCCAUGCGGAUCAUUUCUGAAAUUCUGUGUUCCUGUGAUGCAGUGAUGCUCAUCCACUGUUCUGUGGCCUGCUCAUCUUCCCAGCAGAAUGCUCUGGCUUCUUGUGGCAAUGGUUUCCAAGCUCCUCUCAGUCAUUUUAAUGGUCAUUUAGAAUUCCAUUAAAUAUCCCAGAAUAUGCUUAACUGUUUCCAACUAGUAGGUGGUUUGUACUCUUCACACCAUAAUAAAGAGUGCUAUGAUGAUUAUCCUUUA